UAGCUCUUGUUGUUCACAGAGACUCGUGGCAGAUAUAUGAUGCUAUUGUAAUUCAUCCUUGUGAGCCAGGAGUAUCUGAAUGGAUUUAUGUCUACAACCUAAAAUGGUGCGUCUUGUAGUGACAGACCAGUUCCUGAUCUUUGUUGGACGGGACAGGGUCACCACUCCCUUGUAUUUGGGGAUUUGUGUAUUUUAAUGGGAUUUAUGGAUAUUUACCGUAAAGUACAAUGAUGGACCAGUUCCUGCUUUUGUUGGACGGGGCGGAGUUGCCACUCCCUUGUACAUGUAUAUCAGGAUUUGUGUAUUUUAAAGUCAUUUAUUGAUAUUUACGGUGCGUCUUGUAGUGAUAGACCAGUUCCUGCUUUUGUUGGACGGGGCAGAGUCGCCACUCCCUUGUACAUGUAUAUCGGGAUUUGUGUAUUUUAAAGUCAUUUAUUGAUAUUUACGGUGCGUCUUGUAGUCACGGAUGCUUGUGUUAGAGAAAAUUGGCUACAGGCAAGGACAGCCUCAGCCUGACAUGUGUUAAUCAUAUGAUUGUUGACUGUUGAGUUGGGGGACUACUGUUUGUUAUCCAUUGUACCUGUAGAAUGGACACAAUGCAGUAUCAGAACUUACUUGUUCUAGUAAUUAGGUAAUUUUAUCUCCCUUCUCUCAUUCCAGACUCGGUUGCAAUGGAUGUUGAUGUUCUCGUUUUCCUGGUGUAUGGCAGCUUAAGUGAAGCAUGGAUUUCAACAAAUAAGCAAGUAGGAAACUUGCCAUUAUUGAUUCUACCAGAUAGCACUGCUAUUUUUCCAUUACUAAAUGCAGUUUUGUUUUUAUUGAUAAUUCUAUUUAUUGUAGCUUUUGCAAGCUAGUGACAGCAUUAAUGUUUUGCUAUAAAUAUAAUAUUGCAUUAAUGAAUAUUAUUACAGUCUCCAUGAAUAUGAUUACUUUGUUAUGAAUUAAAGUUUAUGAUAAUUUAGUCUCACAUGAUUAAGUGAGAAACAGGAA